GUGCUCACUUCAGCAACACAGACACUAAUAUUGGAAUGAUACAGAAAAGAUAAGCAUUGCCCCUCCACAGGAUGAAAUGUCCCUUUCACCACAACAAGGUGAAAGUA
ensembl:snRNA U6 U6 spliceosomal RNA